rnacentral:rRNA from 1 species
CCUACGGGUGGCAGCAGUGGGUAAUAUUGGACAAUGGGGGCAACCCUGAUCCAGCCAUGCCGCGUGUGUGAAGAAGGCCCUCGGGUUGUAAAGCACUUUCAGUGAGGAAGAACGCCUGGUGGUUAAUACCCAUCAGGAAAGACAUCACUCACAGAAGAAGCACCGGCUAACUCCGUGCCAGCAGCCGCGGUAAUACGGAGGGUGCGAGCGUUAAUCGGAAUUACUGGGCGUAAAGCGCGCGUAGGUGGCUUGAUAAGCCGGUUGUGAAAGCCCCGGGCUCAACCUGGGAACGGCAUCCGGAACUGUCAAGCUAGAGUGCAGGAGAGGAAGGUAGAAUUCCCGGUGUAGCGGUGAAAUGCGUAGAGAUCGGGAGGAAUACCAGUGGCGAAGGCGGCCUUCUGGACUGACACUGACACUGAGGUGCGAAAGCGUGGGUAGCAAACAGGAUUAGAUACCCGAGUAGUC